rnacentral:rRNA from 1 species
GCGACCCCCAGAUGGGAGACCGCCCCCGCCCAAGUUUAACAUAAUCAA